rnacentral:lncRNA from 1 species
CACAUCUUGAAGUUCUUGCUCUCUUCUUAACAUGAGUGCAUUCAGUGAGAUGGCCAUUUGACCCAUUUGUUGUUGCAUCAUUUGCAAGGUCUUCAUAACCUCAUUAUUAGUAUCAGUGUCCAUUGGUGGUGCUGGUUGGGCUUGAUAUCCUUGAUAAUCUUGGUAGUUGUUAGCCUCAUCAUAGCCAUAGUUCGGUUGGUCUCCCCAAUACGGAUUGUAUGUGUCAUGGUAGGGAUCAUGUCUUGG